AGUCUUUGCCUUUGAGUCUCUUCCAGAGGCCACGUCAGAAUCCCUUCUGAACCCUAACCUACAGCUUUCUUUUCUGGUGAGCAGGAAUUCCAUUUUCAAAACCAAAGCUCAUCACCCAGCUAGAGCAAGGGACAGAGACAAGGCGAGAAGAGAGGAAACGUUCACAGGCUGCCGGUCAAGAUUUUCCCUUAGGUAGCAAUGGAGUAAGACUGCACAGCUAUAAAAUCUGCUCCGGAUACACGAAGGCUAAGAGGAGUGGACAAGGACACCUAUGUGGGAGCUGUUGGGACCAUGCAGAAGGAAGACAGAGCGGCUUUAGAACUCUCGGAAUUCGGCCCACUGGUUAGCACAGCCGAGAUGGGUGAGCCUUGGGAGGCAGAGCCCUGAUGACCAUGUGUCCUGAGGACUUCAUGCUCUUAUGGCG
rnacentral:lncRNA from 1 species